AGAGUUUGAUUCUGGCUCAGGAUGAACGCUAGCGAUAGGCCUAACACAUGCAAGUCGAGGGGCAGCACAUGAAGUAGCAAUACGGAUGGUGGCGACCGGCGCACGGGUGAGCAACGCGUAUGCAACCUGCCUACAACAGGGGAAUAACCCGUUGAAAGACGGACUAAUACCCCAUAACACAGGGAUCCCGCAUGGGAAUAUUUGUUAAAGAUUUAUCGGUUGUAGAUGGGCAUGCGUUCCAUUAGCUGGUUGGUGAGGUAACGGCUCACCAAGGCAACGAUGGAUAGGGGAACUGAGAGGUUUAUCCCCCACACUGGUACUGAGACACGGACCAGACUCCUACGGGAGGCAGCAGUGAGGAAUAUUGGUCAAUGGACGCAAGUCUGAACCAGCCACGUCGCGUGAAGGAAGACGGCCCUACGGGUUGUAAACUUCUUUUGUAAGGGAAUAAAGUGCAGUACGUGUACUGUUUUGCAUGUACCUUACGAAUAAGGAUCGGCUAACUCCGUGCCAGCAGCCGCGGUAAUACGGAGGAUCCGAGCGUUAUCCGGAUUUAUUGGGUUUAAAGGGUGCGCAGGCGGGAGAUUAAGUCGGCGGUGAAAUUUUGCAGCUCAACUGUAAAAGUGCCUUCGAAACUGGUUUUCUUGAGUGUGGAUGAAGUAGGCGGAAUUUGUGAUAUAGCGGUGAAAUGCAUAGAUAUCACGAGGAACUCCGAUUGCGCAGGCAGCUUACUAAACCAUAACUGACGCUCAGGCACGAAGGCGUGGGGAUCAAACAGGAUUAGAUACCCUGGUAGUC
rnacentral:rRNA from 1 species